UUCAAUGGUGGUUCAGGUGGGGGAGGUUUCGGCCUCGCCGGUGGGUACUCCGGUCUGCUAACCCUGUCUGAAUCACCACCAUC
rfam:Xenorhabdus beddingii strain DSM 4764 Xbed_90, whole genome shotgun sequence.